GGAAUAUUGGACAAUGGGGGGAACCCUGAUCCAGCGACGCCGCGUGAGUGAAGAAGUAUUUCGGUAUGUAAAGCUCUAUCAGCAGGGAAGAAAGAAAUGACGGUACCUGACUAAUAAGCCCCGGCUAACUACGUGCCAGCAGCCGCGGUAAUACGUAGGGGGCAAGCGUUAUCCGGAUUUACUGGGUGUAAAGGGAGCGCAGGUGGCAUGGUAAGCCAGAAGUGAAAACCCAGGGCUCAACUCUGUGGAUUGCUUUUGGAACUAUCAAGCUAGAGUGCUGGAGGGGUAAGUGGAAUUCCUAGUGUAGCGGUGAAAUGCGUAGAUAUUAGGAGGAACACCAGUGGCGAAGGCGGCUUACUGGACUGUAACUGACGUUGAGGCUCGAAAGCGUGGGGAGCAAAC
rnacentral:rRNA from 1 species